CUCGAGGGAAGAUACAGAUCCGGUGGAGCGACACUUUGAGCUGUCUGAGGCUACCCAUUAUUGCCCAAAAUUAGGGGCUUGAUCAACCCCACGAGAACACGGUCUAAACGUCGGACAGAUUUCAGGUGGCCAAACAACCCUUGGGGAAGGAGAUGAAUCUGAUUUUGUUGAAGGUACAAAUAAUGAAGGUUGACAAGUCCAUCAAAUACCGAUAUGUCUAAGCGCUGGAUGUCAUUAUGGUUUAGGUGCAAUGUGGCAAGUAGCUGGGCAGCAAAGGACCCUUUCUUGAAGAAGCAACAUAAAGACGUAGCCACACAGACACAAGCGGAGUGGAAUGAGAAAGCUCUCACAUCUAUGCACGUCCCUUUGUUUGCUGCUCAUAAUUGUUCUGGCUAGCAAAAUGAAAACAAACAGUCAGGAAUUAAGAACACAUUUUGCUGAACAAGAUCUUCUACAAUUAACCGUAAGGUAUAUAAUUAAAAGUGGAAGCAUUUAGGAACCACAAAAACUCGAGUUGGGUAAGUUUAAUGUGGAACGACUUGACUAGUCCCCGAACAGAAGCCUCAUCCCAAUCCAACACCUUUGGAAGGAACUA